AUGGCUCAGGACAAACGCUGGCGGCGUGCCUAACACAUGCAAGUCGAACGGGACUCAGCUGAUGGUAACUGAUGUUGAGUUAGUGGCGGACGGGUGAGUAACGCGUGAGUAACCUGCCUUUCAGUGGGGGACAACAGAGGGAAACUUCUGCUAAUACCGCAUGAUACAGCGAGAUCGCAUGGUCUUGCUGUCAAAGAUUUAUCGCUGAAAGAUGGACUCGCGUAUGAUUAGAUAGUUGGUGAGGUAACGGCCCACCAAGUCGACGAUCAUUAGCCGGACUGAGAGGUUGAACGGCCACAUUGGGACUGAGACACGGCCCAGACUCCUACGGGAGGCAGCAGUGAGGAAUAUUGGGCAAUGGGCGCAAAGCCUGACCCAGCAACGCCGCGUGAAGGAAGACGGUCUUCGGAUUGUAAACUUCUUUUGUCAGGGACGAAUAAUGACGGUACCUGGCGAAUAAGCCACGGCUAACUACGUGCCAGCAGCCGC
rnacentral:rRNA from 1 species